UACGUAGGCAGCAAGCGUUGUUCGGAGUUACUGGGCGUAAAGGGUGCGUAGGCGGCCCUGUAAGUAUGGUGUGAAAUCUCCCGGCUUAACUGGGAGGGUGCGCUAUAGACUGCGGGGCUCGAGUGUGGGAGAGGAAAGUGGAAUUCCUGGUGGAGCGGUGAAAUGCGUAGAGAUCCGGAGGAACACCAACGGCGUAGGCAACGCCCUAGACGAGACCUGACGCUCAGGCACGAAAGCGCGGGGAGCGAACAGG
rnacentral:rRNA from 1 species